UUCUUACAGGUCAAAUAAAUCAUACGGGUAUCCUGUAACCAUUAUUCUAUACCUAUUUCCCUUUACAAAUCAGCGAUUCCCAGCGGAAACACAUUGUCAGUACAAUGAUGUAUUGGACGUCGACGCGCCAGAUAUAGGAUCUACAGCUUUCGUUUGCAUUUUAUACCUGUGUUUCUACAGAUGUUCAUCUUCAAUAACAAUCAACCUUUUAACGGAACCCUUCUAUGCAGCAUUUGGACGAAUAUCCAACCGGUUGUCACUAACAUGCAUUAUGAUUUCGGACAACUUCACAGUUGAUAUAGUCCAGAACUGUUUUUUUUUUAAAUUCUCAAAAGCGAAGAAACUCAAUGGAGAUUAGUCCCUAGCGUGUAUGGUGAUUGGUGGGAACGGCUUAUUGGACUUACUGAAGCCAUCAUUAAGAACGUUCGAGACCAUUCAUUGUCACGCAAUAUGGUUACAGAAAUUGAAACGGUUAUGAACGAUAGACUACUCGCACAUACGUCGCAGUGGAUUGUACCGACCUAGAACCCCUGACGCUAGAAUAUCUCCGAGACUAUGAUAUAUCUUUUUACAUAUUUAUGAUUUAAUGUAGCAAACUGAGCCAAUGUAUGCCCAAUGUCCAAGUAUGUGAGAACAUCAUCAGAAGACAGGCAAGAAUUAGCAAAUGACCAAAGUUGGUGACUGCGUACAAAAUGCACGAUGAUGCUAAGAGAAACCGAUAGAAAUUUUAUACUAAAACGGACCUUGUCACAAGCAAUGAUUGACUUGCCGCGUACCGGGAACGAGCACGUGACAAGAGUUGUCAGUACUGGAAUUAAUUAGACAAGCUCAAGUAGAUCAAGUAGAGAGAGACCCUAAAAUUUUCAAUGAUAGUAAUACGUUAAAUAAAGUCUAGACAUUGAUUUCCAAGUCCAUAACCAAAAAUGAUUUCACAAAUAUGAAGUUUAUGAUAGUUUUGUUAAUAUCAAUAACAGAAGUUUUAAUUUUUGAUUUAAAGGUGUGAUCCACAAAGUAUGACAACUCUUGUCUUGGGCUAGUACUAUAUAUCUAUUAGUUUACUUCCCUUGCAAUUAUACAAUUGAGUGGAAAAUGAAAACUGUUGUAGACACAGUAUCAUACUUUUAUGCACAGCAAAAACAUUUAGGAUUUAUACAUUUGUGUUUCAUGUACCCCUCAAAACAUGGUUCCUAUGAUUCUGUCAACUUACAUAUGGUAAAAAAUUAACUUUUAACAAGCCAAUAAUAAAAUGAAGUACUUGUAAGUAAAUAAUAGUGCAGAUAAUACAGUUUUGCUUGUAUCAAAAUGUCACAAUAGAAGCACUUUUGUAAUACAGAACACCUGUUAGGAUCAGUAAAGGUGCAAUUAUAUUGAUCUCUAUUUCCUAUGCCUAUAUCAAGACAAUUUUAUGCAUCUGUGGAAUAGAUCUGUUGAUUUCAAUUAAUUAAUUCCAAUACUGACAACUCAAGUCAAUACCUUAAAACAGGGACAAAGUGAGUAUGUUUAAUCUUUAAAAAGCAAUCACGUAAACGUGGACUUUGACUCAUAAGAAUUUAUAUUCUAUACAACAUAUGUAGCCGUGUAAAGUUAUUUAAAACAUUACAGUUUGGUGUCGCGAGCAAUGGCAUUUAAAAACACAUCUGACGAAGUUUGGUUAGCUUGCUGGCGGAAAGUGAUUCUGCCAUGCGACCAGUUCAGACCAAGGUCAUGACCUGUACUGUUUGAUAUUCAGUCAGUAAAUUUUGAUUGAAAUACCCCCUUUGAAUAGUAAAUGAUGCUGCCUAAAUUGAAUGACUGACUUGUCCAUUUUAGAAAUUUAGCAGGUUAAGGUAAAAAAGAGCGGACAAAGUGAUUACGCGUAUAUCUUGUGAAAUGAGCUUUACACGCUGAUGCUUUUUCUUCAACCUGAAGAAUAUAUACAUUUCUUAGGUACAUGUGAAUGAAAGAUAUUAUUGAUCUUGGUAAUUUAUUAUUGAUGAAAACUGGCUAUAAAUAUACUACCGUUAUAUCUUGAUUAUUGAAUUAGAUAAACUGCGCAAUUUAUUUUAACGCAUUUUACACUACCCAUGUUCCAUUAAAACAUGAUAAUCGAGAUUCAUUUUCUUUAAAAAAGUAAAUAUUAUAUUCGUAGAUAAAUACGAAUUUUAUUAAGGCCCGUAUUGAAAUUGAACUGACCGUUAUCUACUGAGUUUUUAUUAUUAUAUUUUUUGAAUAGCUUCAGUUCAUCGAAUAAAUGCUCUUUAAAUGUAUAUUAUUCUGGAUUCCAAAGUAUCAAGAUUUUCGAAAACUUGAAAACUGAUUUCCCAACAAAUUUUCACUUGACAACGAAAGAGAACGGAUCUAAAACAGCUUGAGAAAGAAAGGUGCUUGUUAGAUACUAAAUAAAAGAGAAAACACAGAAUGGGAGGCAAAUGUUGUUCUGCAGUUUUAUGGUGUCUUGGAAUAACCUGCUUCAUUGUCGGAGUUGUGUUUGACUGGGUUAACUUCGUUGAACUACGAGCAAAUGAUGAAGAGAUUGAGACCACCGAUAACAAAGCUUGCGACUUUGCCCUGAAUGAAUAUCACUGGAUUUUCAUGACUUCUGUAAUAUGUAAAGUAAUAUGCGGCAUAUUGGAGUAUGGCUUUGGUGGAUAUGCACUAUGGAAGAGUGGUAGCGACACUAUAUAUGACACCUUGUCUUUGUUGUUUAAUGUGAUAACCACAGUUUUUCAAGCAGCUGAUUUACUUCUGUUGGUGCUAUUUACGUACAAAUGCCUUUCCCCAGACAGGACACAUCAUGUGGAUGUUUUUAUAAGCGACGAAAACGAUGACUUUGUAGCAAGUGUUUUUGGAACAGCUGGAGUUGUAUUUAACUUGACAAUCAAGAAAAACAUUUUAACUAUAUUCAGCACCUUAUGUUGCUUCCCUUGUUCAGAAAAAUCUAGCGGAUGCCACCAAUUUUUGUCAUUUCUUUCUGUGGUUUUGAUUAUUGUGUGUGUCGGCCUUGCAGUUGCCCUACUGCUUAAAAUUGGAUAGUUUUAUGAACUUUAACCCUUAUCAUGCUGGACACGAUUGAUUUUGCCUUUGCGGCCAGUGCAGAACUUGAUCAGCCUAUACAUAUCAUCUGUCUGAUCAAGAUCUGUAUUGUUCGCAGUUCAGUCAAUAUGUUUUUGGCAAACAUACCUUUUUACAAUUAAUGGUAAUGUCGAAAUUGAAAGAUGGAAAAAAUCAUUAUAAAAAUUUAACAUGGUAAGGGGUAUGAGAGUAGAGAUAACACAUGCUUUUUCGUUAGCUUUACGACAUCUGAAGAACCAAGUGGGAAUGGUUAGUUCCCGAAUCAACAUAUCCCGAAAGACUAGUUGGCUCCCGGGUCAACAUAUCCCGAGGGAUUGGUUGGUUUCCCAGUCAAGAUAUCCCGAGGGAGUGGUUAGUUCCGGAGUCAACAUAUCUCGAGGGAUUCAAAAACAUGCGUUAACAUAUUUACUAUCAUAAACGUGUGAAAAAAAGAUAUAAUGUCAAUCAGCGUCACAUGAAAUGCACGGACUAUCAGAGUUAUCUGAUUACGUUGACGUCAUAUCCGUUUGAAUUAUACGUUCUGCUACGGAACGCGCAUAUGUAAAACGGUGUUUUAACCGCGCGUGAGAGAGAAAUCUAUUUUAUGAAUGUAAAACCAAUUUUUAUACGAAGGAAUGUUGCACACAUUUUGUAUAACACGUUAGAUAAAGAAAUAAAAAUAGCUUUAUUGUAAUCAUUGAAUUUAGAACUUAAUGUACUUAUUAACAGGCAAAAAAUCAGUCGUUGAAAGUUGUUCAUUUAUUUCAUCGAGAUACAAACAAUGUUAGACAAAUAACGAAAUAAACUUUAAACAAACCUCUCA